CCCAGCCUACAAACCCUGGGCUACUGCAGCGGAGCGUGCGAACUUAACCACGACACCACCAGGCUGGCCCCACCCUUUCUUUUUCCCCCUGAAAUUGAUGAACUGUGGAUCUGGGACUAUGGGACCAAGACUCAGGAGGCCUGGUUAGCCUGGCCAUGUGAUUUCAGUGGCUGCUUGACCUCCCUGAAACUCAACUAGGCCUGAGGAUGAUCUCUGUUGCCUCCUGCCACUGUUAGAGCCUGUUCCUGCAGGGAUAGGGGCCCACCGGUCCAUAGGGCUGUGCCCAUCAGACAGGGUACUUGUCAGUGUUUACAUUUUAUUCACUGUAGUCAUUUGAAGUAUAUUUUUGUAUUACUAAAUUAGCAAUACAAUUUAGUAGUUAUUUUAUAUUCCUAAAGCAUGGAUGUAUAUAUACUAAUUCCUGGAGUAAACUGAGCAUUUACUAAGUGCCAAGCACUCGGCUUAGCACUUUGCAUAUUCAAUUUCCACAACCGGAAUUGGGCCAGGGAGGUUGAGUAACUUUCCCAAAGCCACACAGCUUGUGGGGUUAAGGACUUAGAACUCUGAACUCAACUUUUCUGCCUGCAAAGCCCAUGCUCUGAACCACUAAGGUAGACUAGGACAGAACAGAGAGCUUGCAUAAAACAUAAGAAUUCCAAGAAAGUUUGUAAAAGAAUGUAAGAAAUCCUGACAGAAUGAGGUCUUUUAUAAAUUUACCUCUCUCAUUUCAUCCGUCCUUGUGAAACCACCAACCUGGCUCUUCUCAACCCAUUACCUUCCAAACCCCAACAACUCUAGCCUGGGUGCUCGACAACACAAAAGUUCGUAUGUGCUGAAUUGGACUCACGAGAAGUUUUAAUCUGUGUCUCAAAAUUCUUAACAUACUAGCAGAGAAGACUUUGUGCUCCAAGGGGAACAAAUUAUUCAGAUGUGCUUGAAAGUGCUACAUGCAAGUACUUUGAAGAAUAAUUAUCAAAAAUAUUUAACAUGUGUGAUUGUUCCAAGUCAAACAAGCAAGACAACACACAGUGUUUUGUGAUUUGCCAAAUUUCGUCCUUUUUUUAAGGUAGCCAGGCACGGAUUUGAACACAAACACACACCAGCUGGCUGAAAUAAGUGCAUUUAUAAGUAAAUAUUUAACGGACUGAUUUCUGGCCCGCUGGAAGCACUCCAUUCCAAAAAGAUAAGAAAAAUAACAGUAUUCUUUGAAAAAAAUGUGGAUAAAACAGUAAUGGUUUAUAUAAAGAUAAGUUUAUCUGUAGCUGGAACUAUUAAAGAGUUGUCACUAUGAAAGAAACAUUAUUUUUGCCCUUAUAUUCAGAAUAUUUUUCACUGUCAAAAUAUUUGGCUUUUAUGGUUUGGUUCUAAAUAGAUCAUAUUUGAAAAGUAAAUUAUAAAUUUGUAAUGGCAUAUUAACAUACAUUAAUAGAGACCAAAAGGCAACAUCCUAAUCCUGACUAAGUACAGUUUUUGCCUACGCUGCCCCUGUACCCAUGUGGCUGAAACAGACUAGAGAAAAUCACACAUCCAUGCUCAGCACUCCCGAUUCAGGCAAGAGUCCAGCCAUGGGUGGGCCUCCAUACCGCUCAGUAAUUCCAGCCCCUCUCAUGUCCUAGAUGACUAUUUCAUACCUUCCUCUCCAUCCUCUAAUACUACCUUACCCAGGUUCACGCUCAGCUGGUGCCCUUGGCCUUGCUGCCUAUUUCGCUGAGAAAAUGGCAGUCAGGAAAAACCCCACAAGCUGGUUCCUUCCCACCCACCCAUACACCGGCGUCAUGCACCUGUCCUCCAUGUUCGUUAUCACUUCUCUGGCUGAACUGUCCGUGCUCCUAUCCCAGGCCAACCCCUCCACUUGGGCACUAGAUCUCACCCCUUUCACCAACUCAAGGACGUUGCCCCAGCAAUUCUCCUCUAGCCCUCCUGCAUCCUCUGCUUGCCCUGUUUACUGGAUCGUUCCCGUAAGCAUACCAACACGCUAUUAUUGUCCCCAUCUUAAAAGAAAAUGAAACUCUCUUAACGCCGCUUCCCCCUCCAGCUGACUUCUCGUUCUCUGCUUCCCUUUAUAGUAAAACUCCUCGAGGGUGGUGCUGUCUCCAAUUCUCCUCCCAUUGGCUCUUAACCAUUCUAAUCAGGCUUUGUCCCCAGCACUCUAUCAAGGUCACCAAUGCCCUGCAUGAUGCUACAGCCAGUGGUCAAACAUCCCACUUGACUUACCAACAGUGUCUCACACAGACACUUUUGGUUCUUUCCCCUCUUGGCUUCCAGAACCUCACACUCUCCUAGUUUUCUUCCUGUUUCACUGACUCUUCCUUCUCAGUGUCCUUUAUGAGUUCCUCCUCAUCUUCCUGACCUCCUAUACCUGGGGUGCCUCAGAGCUCAUUCUUCCACUUCUUUUCUUUUCUAGCUUCAUUUUCUCCAUUGGUGACAGCAUCCAAACCAAACUGAUAACUCCUGAUUUGUGUAUCUAAAUCCUCAUUCAACAUCUCAGUUUAGAUGUGUAUAAGGAAUCUCAAACGUAACAAGCCCCAAACCAAACACUUGACCUCCAGCCUCCAAACCUGUUUCUCCCAAUUUUCUCCGUCUCAGUAAAUGGCAACUUCACCCUUUCUGUUUUUCAGGCCAAAGAACAUGGAGCUAGCCUUGUCUCCCCUCCUUUUCUCACACCCCAUCUUCUCUCCACAGGCAAAUCCCAUUACCUCUAUCUUCAAAAUAUACCCCGAAUCUGACCAGCUCUCAUGCCUCAGCUCUUAUCACUCUGCUUCAAGCCUCACCUCCUGCAUUAUUCAAUAACAUCCUCAUUGGUCUCCCUACUUCCACUCUUGCCUCAUGCAGUCUACAGCAAGAUGGUGUGAAUUUUCUGCUCAAACCCCUUACGGCGGCUCCCAGAGUAAAAGCCCAGGUCCUUUCAGUGGUCCGUGGUCUGCCCUCCACAAUCUCCACGAGCCACCUUCUUUCUUCUCUGACUCCACCUCCUGUCUCCCUCCCCUGUUCGCCCCCGUCUAAUCAUACUCGCCUCUUUGUCGUUGUUCUCUCUGCUUGGGGCUCCCCUCCCCCAGAUUGCCACAUGGCUUGCUCCAAUCCCUCCCUCCCAACUUUGCUCAAAUGUCAUCUUCUCAGAGAGGACUUCUCCAGACCACUGUUGGUCCCUUCUAGGUUCUCGCUGGGUCUCUGUAACAAAAGACCGAUUAAGAAGAGAAAAGCAUACAAAUUAACCUUCGUAAGGAAAUGAAGACCCGAAGGAAGGUGAGGAUGCCACCGGAAAUGGCAUCUUCUCCCCAGAGGCUGGCUCACAAACGUAGCAGCACCCGGAGGUGAACUUGUCUGCCCCACAGCCCAGCCUGGACUCUCCCACCUGGCCCUCUGAUCUACAGCCAAGAAAAGAGUCUGUCUAAGGAAGAGAUCUAGAAUCAACCGAGAGGUACACUGUUUAAUCAUCAGUUACUUUAAUGAAGAUUCUCGAAGAAUCAUGGAAUUUUAGAACUGGGAAAACUAAAGACAUAAAAUUUAAUUAACAUUUACAAACAAGGAUACUAAGGCCAAGAGAGGUGAGUAACGUUUUUGAGGUCACACAGAACAUCACUCCUCCACUAGUCUUUCCUAGUUUAUACUAGUUUAUAUUAACUUUUAAACCACAGGCCUGAUUCAUACCACAGCAAACCAAGAAGGGAAGUUUACUAAACAUGGACUUUCUAUGGAAGUGAUGGCAAAAAACUCCUAUAGCUUCAUAACCGGAAGUUUAUUGGUUAGAUGUGCAAUGAAUUAUGUACGUAAGUUAGAGUGAUGGCAUGCUUGUGGCUUCACGAUUUCUUCAAUAGUCCUGAGUUUUGGUUUUGAGAAAAUUAGAAAAAAGUAAGUUGUACCAGUGACAAUGUGAGUUGGAAGGGAACACCCAGGGCACAGACCCCUCCCAUGCAAAUCUGACCGAUGACCGUGGCCAUCUCUUCUCUGCUUUGUAGGAAGAUUAACAUCACUGUGAUUGUUUAAAUGUUAGGCCCUUUGCCACACUAGACUAGUGAAAUGUUAAUACUUAGAUAAAAUAGUCAAAAUAGGAUGUGACUAAAACUGUCCAAAUAGGAUUUUUCAUUGAAUUGAUUUGACUGGUUUAUAGGGCCUUAAUUGGACUUUCCUUGAACUUGACAACAAGGGUAAGGAAAGGUUAUCCUGUAAAAAUGAAGUUCCUGAAAUCACAAGAGAUGGAUGAGAGCAGCUAUUUACAGAAGAAAUACACAGCAGCUGUUGACCCACUAGAAAUCCGUGAGAUUCAUGGAGAAUAGAGCCUUUAUCUUUCUUAUCAUUGUGUAUGAAAACCUAGCACGUCUGGCACUUAGUAAGUACUCAGUAAUGUUUCUUGGAUGAAUCAGUGAGUGAAGGAAGAGGAGGCCUGUAAAUGUGUUCCUGGGGAGGCUGGAACCCAAGUCUCUAAGGAGAUGAUAGAAAUUGACGUUUAAUCCUUGUCGCGGAUCUGAAGGAAUAUUGCCAAGACAGCAUGAUGGUGACCUUCGAGGACUCAGGAAAGACAGUGCCUACAAGUCAGAAUUUGCCAGAAUGUCCCAGCAUAGUCAGGAGAGAGGGCACCUGUCUGACCAAUGUAAAUAUUCUAAUCCCAUGGAGAUUAGUGCGCCAGCUGUGAGACUGAGUAAGAUCAGCCCACGGGAUGAGCCAGUUGCCUUCAUUCUGGCUUUAUGUUUCCCAAGCAAGUUCAGGCAGCAUUUAGCUGCUGAUCUGACUAAGAUGACACAUUUAGUGUUUAUUUUCAUGAAUAAACCAAUAAAUUGGUGUUGUGGUUUAUAUCUCUCUUGUGAGUUAGGUUAGUAUGUACUAAUCCUUUUAAUCUGAUCACACCCAAUGAACCAAGGAGAAUGCGUUCUUAGAUAUACCGUGCUGAGGACCAGACACUGAAUCACUGGUGAAUCCACUAUAUUAUGGAUUAAAUUCCACUAAUCAUUUAAUAGCCCUGUUUCUCUCGAACGAGUUGGAGUGCAAGUAGGUCAGACAGGGACCAUCUUCUUCCUAGGUAUAUUAAUGUCCUACAGCUGCUGUAACAAAUAUCACCAACUUGAUGACUUAAAACAACACAUAUUUAUUCUCUUACAGUUCUGGAGCUCAAAAAGUCCAAAAUCCAUUAGCCCAGAAUAAAAUCCUUACUGCUGUCCUACAUGAUCAGGCUUCUGCCUGCCCCUGCAAUGUUAUCUUCUGGAACUCUCUUCAUUGCUCUUGAUGCUUUCAACCAUGCAAGACUUCUUUCUUUUCAUAUGACAUGUCAAACUCUUAUAGCUUGAGUCUUUGCACUUGCCAUUCUCCUUGCUGGAAUGUUCCACAUCCCCUACCCCUAGUUCUUUGGAUAUCUAACUUCAUCCUUUCAUCUUCACCUUCCAAGUCACCUCCUAAGAGGCCUUCCAUGACCCUUUGAUCUAGGAGUACUGUUACGGUCCAUCACAGGGCUCUAUUUCCUUGUAGUGCUCACCCCACUCAGCAGUGGCAUCAAUAGUUUCUUGUUCGUUAGCUUCUCUAACUAGAAAGCACACACCAGAAGUCUUGUUCAGUAUUGAAUUCCCAGUGCCUACCAGCACCUGCCUGCACAGAAGGUGUUCAAGUAUAUCUACUUUAGUUAAAUGUUCAAGAACAUAAUUAAUUCACAUUGUGUACUUAAGAAUGCAUUUGUAUUAAAGUUGGCUGUAUUUGAUCACUUUUCUUCAGCAAAUGUCUACAGCACUCUCUCACAACUUUCUCUACGUCAUCCUGGGUGGCUGAGACCUCCUCAACCUCCCCACCCCCACUUGUGGGUAAGAACCUGGUAGCACCUUCACCGGGGGCUAGCAGUGAAUUUCGUACAUAUUUUAGCCUUUAUCUUUCAGCCGAGAGCUUUCUUCUUUGCCCAUUUUUGCUUUUGUCACCUUGCUCCUUAGGUCAAGAAACUAUCAAUGCAAUCAAGCUAUUGUCUGGUAAAAAAAGCCAAAAUUAUUCAAUGUUUAUGAGACAAAUGAUUGCUCUAUUGUUAAGACUUAGAAUGCAGGGUUCAUUUGGCCUCAAGAAGUGACAGCACUCAAAGCUUUUCAUACUUGACUCUUGUCUCAAGUUUUCUGGAAAAAAGAAAAAAAAAGAGUAAAAUCAAGAUUAAAUGAACAUUAUCCAAGCAGCAUGCAUUUCUCACAAGAUUCUAUAGUACGGUAUACUGUGUUAUACCAAAGGCCAGAACAUUAAAGCUGUAACUAUGUUUUUCCAUAAGCACAAGCAAAGCAGGGCCCAGCAUUUGAAAACAAGUGGAAUCUUACAUCCUGCCAUAGGAUCAAGGUCAAGGCCCUCUCUGCUGCCAGCCGCAGAGCUCUUGUUUCCAGGGCCCUGUAUUGCAUGACUCCUGGAGGCAGCAUUCCUGUUAAAUUCUGGACUGGUACACGGUGGCAGCUCCAUCUCUGAAAGCUUUAUGUUCAUCAAUCUGCAAAGCAUGGCCUGAUGAGCAGUGUAUAAGUCCGUGUCAGGGAUCUGAACCUGUGAACCCUGGGCCGCCAGAGCGGAGCCUGCACAUUUAACCACUAUGCCACCGGACCGCCCCGAGAGCUUGCUUCUUUCUGCUCUCUGCCAUGUGAGGAUACAAUGAGAGAUGGGAGAAAACAGGGCCCUCGCCGGAAUCAGACUACACUAACACCCUGGUCUCCGAUGCCCAGCCUCCAGAACUGAGCUUUUUGGUUACUCUGAGAUACCCUUCCUACAGAAAACUCUGGUCACCACGACAUAUGACAAUGAGUACAACUAGGCUCUACUCUCAGACCUCCCACCCCCCUGCCAAUCAGCUGGGGUUCUACUGACAAGGACCCAGGCACAGGGAAGAAGAUGUGACACUGAUAAUCUGAAAUGUGGUUCUAGAUAGAAGCCAGGUCUUUCAAACAAGCCAGGUCUUUGGAAUAACCCAAGAGCCCUGCUUUCAAAGUUGGGAAAUAAGCUCCGAGCCACGCCAUCAGCACAGACACAGACCAGGUGGAGAUGAACUUGCAAACAGAGGACAGGAGGCCUUGGUUUUCCAGAUCCGGAGGAGGCAAAGUCUUGGAAUUAGGGAAGACUCUAUAAAACCAACCCAAUGGGCCAGUUAAUGAAUGGACAUCGAAAAUGGAGAAAAACUCCUUUGCGCAUGAAGUCAUCUUCAUUUUGGGAUUAUAUCUUUCCUAAUUGACCCGUAAAUAAGUGAUUACACAUCAAAGUGAGGGUAUUUAUGUAGCUAUGUCAAUGGCAAAUGCUAUACUGGUCUCCUAGUUUAUUGGCAAAUGCAUAUUAACUCAAUAAAAAAUGUUUAUUAGGCAAUACAUUAAAUUUUCAUAGCUAGAGAUCAAAUUUAGACAAGAAAGCCAUAUUAUAUAAGAUUAUUCAAGAAAAUUGGGUGAAUUAACUUGUUAAGUCAUUCCUUAAUACCACAUUCUCAAACUUUCCCACUGAAACUUUUUCCUUUUUUGAGGAAGAUUAGCCCUGAGCUAACUGCUGCCAAUCCUCCUCUUUUUGCUGAGGAAGACUGGCCCUGAGCUAACAUCCGUGCCCAUCUUCCUCUAUGUUAUAUGUGGG